GAGUUUGAUCGUGGCUCAGGACGAACGCUGGCGGCGUGCUUAACACAUGCAAGUCGGACGCUGAAGCUCAGCUUUUGUUGGGUGGAUGAGUGGCGAACGGGUGAGUAACACGUGAGUAACCUGCCCCCUUCUUUGGGAUAACGCCCGGAAACGGGUGCUAAUACUGGAUAUUCACUGGUCUUCGCAUGGGGGUUGGUGGAAAGGGUUUUCUGGUGGGGAUGGGCUCGCGGCCUAUCAGCUUGUUGGUGGGGUGAUGGCCUACCAAGGCUUUGACGGGUAGCCGGCCUGAGAGGGUGACCGGUCACAUUGGGACUGAGAUACGGCCCAGACUCCUACGGGAGGCAGCAGUGGGGAAUAUUGCACAAUGGGCGCAAGCCUGAUGCAGCGACGCCGCGUGAGGGAUGGGGCCUUCGGUUGUGACUCUUCGCUCAUGGUCAAGCCGCACAAU
rnacentral:rRNA from 1 species